GACUCCGUAGCAUAUGGUAUGCAUCCGCGCUCUUUGGGAGCCGGAAAAUCGUGUUUCUCGAUGCGGAAGAACCUGGUUCGAUUCCGGGCGGGGUCA